CCGCGCUUUUGCCGACAAGGAAUGAACGCCUCUGAUGUCAAGCAAUCAGAAAAAUGGACACAGAAACCAGGCAGAGUGAGCUAGAAAACCAGUGGACAAUACAGGAGAUAACUUUAUUGAAACGCAAAUGGCAGUGAACAGAUGAAUUCUGCUGGAUGGAGACAUGCCUGAUGGACAGAGGACCCAGGUAAGGGUAGCCUCUAGCGAUAGAGGAGGCCAUUUCAGCUGGCCAAGGCAUGGAUUUAAUUUUCAACCAAUUUCUUUCUUUUUUUUUUUUUUUUUU